rnacentral:lncRNA from 1 species
GCCGCCCCCUUCUGUCAAAAGAAUACAAAUCAACUUACAAUAGGGCUAUUUAUAGGUGAGGAGUGUAGCAGAAAACAGGCCUAAGCCCAACGGACCACCGCCCGGCGGAACGAGUGUGGCACCCGACAGUUUUCCACAAACUGCAAAACCGCCCGGCAGUAAGGGUCACCGCCCGGCGGUUUCCCUCAAAUCCGCCCAGCGCCAAUGCGAGUGCCUACUCCUCGCCCUGGAC